rnacentral:rRNA from 1 species
UAUCCUUUGUUGCCAGCGGUUAGGCCGGGAACUCAAAGGAGACUGCCAGUGAUAAACUGGAGGAAGGUGGGGAUGACGUCAAGUCAUCAUGGCCCUUACGACCAGGGCUACACACGUGCUACAAUGGCGCAUACAAAGAGAAGCGACCUCGCGAGAGCAAGCGGACCUCAUAAAGUGCGUCGUAGUCCGGAUUGGAGUCUGCAACUCGACUCCAUGAAGUCGGAAUCGCUAGUAAUCGUGGAUCAGAAUGCCACGGUGAAUACGUUCCCGGGCCUUGUACACACCGCCCGUCACACCAUGGGAGUGGGUUGCAAAAGAAGUAGGUAGCUUAACCUUCGGGAGGGCGCUUACCACUUUGUGAUUCAUGACUGGGGUGAAGUCGUAACAAGGUAACCGUAGGGGAACCUGC